rnacentral:lncRNA from 1 species
ACGCACACCAUUGUUCCUUUCUCAGACAAGAGCAGUUUUUCUCCCCCUCCCCUUCCCCGUCCCCCUCCCCGCGUGUGUGCGAGCUGUGAAUGGCGGAGGACCGGCCCCUUCCAGAAGGCAGCCCCCGCCGACCCCUCGCCUUUCCCCGGGGCUCGGGCGGCGGUGGCGACCGGGUGGUCAUCGGCUUCCCGGGGGGCCGGGGGAGGGUGGGAGGGAGGACGGGCGGCUCCGCCCCUCGCCAACCCCCGCCGGGGGCCUGUCCGUGCCAGCUCCGCCCCAUCGGACGCUCGGCCCGCCUGUCUCUCCCGGUGGACGGUAAACGGGGGAGGGCAGAGGGAGGGAGGGAAGGAGGGGAGGCCGGGCGGGACCGGCGGACGUCUCGCCCCCCGCCCCAGCCAGCUCAUCCCCGGAUGGCGGCAGCCCCCCCCUCCUCCUCCUCCUCCUCCUCCUCCUCCUUCCCUCCCUCCCUUCCUCCCUCCUAAUUGGAAACACGCACAGGGUGGUCGCCGUUGGGGGAAACGGGCGCCCCGGGCCCCCUCUCCUCUGCGCCCCCCGUCCUCCCUCCGUCCCUCCGUCCGUCCGUCCCGCACUGACCGUGUCGGUGUGGUGGUGGGCGGUGUUGGUCCCCGUGGCUCCGGUCCGCCGCCCCCCCGGGGGGGCCUCCCCUCAGGGCCGCCGCCCCGCCCGCGCCGCCCGGCCCCGACGCCCGGGCCGGGCGGCCAUGCCGGGGAGGGGGGAGCCGGCGGGCGGGCGGGCGGGCGGCUGGGGCUGGCGGGGCCGCCUUCCUCCCCGCUGUCCCUCCCGGCUCGGCCCGACUCGGCUCGGCCCGGCUCGGCUCGGCCCGGCUCGGCUCGGCUCGACUCGGCCCGCCGCCUCCGCCUGGCGCUGUGGCCGUGGUUGUGGCCGUGGCUCCCCUCGGCCGCUGGCGCGGGGCCGCCCACGCCCAUUGGGCCGCUCCCAGGCCCGCUCCCAUUGGCCGCCGCUCGCCCCGCGCCUCCCCGCGGGCCCGCCAGGGGGCGCGCGCUCCCCGGCCCGCCGCCGCCGCCGCCGCCGCCGCCGCCGAGGAGACGCCGCGCUUAA